rnacentral:lncRNA from 1 species
CAACCUUUUCUCUAUUUUUUUGUUUUCUACUUUAUUUUUACUCUAAUUUUUAUUGUUCUUUGCUUUUGCUUUUUGGGGGUUUAAUUUAUUGUUCUUUUUUAGCCUUUCAAGAUAGAAACUUAGAUUAUUGAUUUAACUUAUUUUGCUAUGCUGAUAUUUUACACAUUAGCUCAGGUAUAUGACAGAUACCAUUAUUGCUAUCAUUUUACAGAUAAAGAAACUGAGGCUCAAUGAACUUGUAACGCUUUAGUGUCAGAGCUCUAGAAUGGGUGAAGGCCAGAUUCAGACCCAGGCAUCGUGACUCCCAAGUCUGCUUGUGGAUCCUUGAAAGCAAGGGUGAGCCAUAAGCAUUGCACCUUUGAGAGAACUGUUCCAGGGCACGUGUGCCGGAUGUGCGGAUGUGCAGGUUUCUUACACAGGUAAAAGUGUACCAUGGUGGUUUGCUGUACCUAUCAACCCAUCACCUAGAUAUUAAGCCCAGCAUGCAUUAGCUCUUUUCCCUAAUGUUCCCCCCCACUGAAAAGCUCAACAUCACUGAUCAUUAGAGAAAUGCAAAUCAAAACCACAAUGAGAUACCAUCUCAUGCCAGUCAGAAUUGCGAUUAUUAAAAAGUCAAGAGACAACAGAUGCUGCUGAGGUUGCAGAGAAAUAGGAAUGCUUUUACCCUGUUGGUGGGAAUUUAAAUUAGUUCAACCAUUGUGGAAGACAGUGUAGCAAUUCCUCAAAGUUUUAGAACCAGAAAUACCAUUUGACCCAGCCAUCCCAUUUCUGGGUAUAUAGCCAAAGGAAUGUAAAUCAUUCUGUUAUAAAGAUACACAUACGCAUAUGUUCAUUACAGCACUAUUCACAAUAGCACACUCUCUUCUUAAAAGCUUCUUCUUCCUUUAUUUCCAAAUCAUUUUAAUUGCCCUCUAUGGUAGGCUAAAAUAUGGCCUGCAAAGAUAUUCAUGUCCUAAUUCUUCAAGAGGAGGGGUAUAUCUUUGCAGGUGUGAUUAAUUUAAUGGUCCUAAGAUGGAGAGUGUUUCCUGGAUUUUCCUGGUGGGCCCUAAAUGCAUUCACAAGUGUCUUUAAGAGAGCUAAAGAGAGACAGGCAGAGAGGGAUUUGACAACACACCCAUAGGAUAGGUCAUGCAAAGACAGAGCAGAGAGAGCUUUGAAGAUGCUGGUCUUGAAGAGAAGAGUGAUGCAGCCACCACCCAAGCCAGCAGCCACCAGGAACUGAAGGAGGCAUGAGGAUUCUCCCCUAGAGCCUCCAGACAGAAUAUGACCCUGCUGACACCUUUAUUGCAGUCCAGUGAUACUGACUUUGGGCUUCUGGCCUUCAGGACUCUGAGAGAAUAAGCUUCUGUUGUGUUAAGACCGCCGGUUUGUGGUCCUUUGUUAUAGCAGUCACAAUAAACUCAUGCACA